UACAGAGGUCUCGAGCGUUGUUCGGAUUCAUUGGGCGUAAAGGGUGCGUAGGUGGCUAGGUAAGUCGGAUGUGAAAUCCCGGGGCUCAACCCCGGAACUGCAUUCGAUACUGCCUGGCUAGAGUACUGGAGAGGAGAUUGGAAUUUACGGUGUAGCAGUGAAAUGCGUAGAUAUCGUAAGGAAGACCAGUGGCGAAGGCGGCUCACUGGACCGGUUCUGACGCUGAAGCGCGAAAGCGUGGGGAGCAAACGGG
rnacentral:rRNA from 1 species